UUCUACUGCAGCCGUGUCACAGAAGUGAAAGAGGAAGGAAGAGUUUGUGCUCUGUGGUAGCAGGAAGAUUGCGAGUUUUGUAAAAACAAGUAUUUUUUAUUAUUUUAGUGCUGUUUUGUUUUGUUUUGCUGAACUAGAAGACAUGGCGAGGCUGAGCGAGCACGGGAUUCGUCUCAGCUCUAUGAGCCCAUCGUAUCUGAACAGCAACUCCACCAGUCACACGUGGCCGUUUAGUGCCGUCGCAGAGUUAAUAGAUAAUGCAUCUGACCCCGGGGUCACAGCCAAGCAGAUCUGGAUUGAUGUGGUCACAGUAAAAGAGGAGCUAUGUCUUACUUUUACUGAUAAUGGUAGUGGGAUGACGCCAAGUAAACUGCACAAGAUGCUCAGUUUUGGUUUCACAGAGAAAGGAUCUGGGAAAGGCAGUCACCAGGCCAUAGGGAUCUAUGGUAAUGGCUUCAAAUCAGGAUCGAUGCGACUGGGACGUGAUGCUCUGAUCUUCACUAAGAAUGGAGGAUGUCAGAGUGUUGGCAUGCUUUCACAGACCUUCUUGCAUGACAUUAAAGCACAAGCUGUCAUUGUACCUAUAGCACCAUUCAACCAACAGACUAAGUCUUUGGUAAUCACGGAGGAUUCAGAAGCCAGUCUGAGAGCCAUUCUUACACACUCUCUCUUCCAUUCAGAGACUGAACUACAGGAACAGCUUGACACCAUCCCAGGCAAGAAAGGCACCAAGAUCCUCAUCUGGAACAUACGCAGGAACAAAGACGGGAAGCCUGAGUUUGACUUUGAAGUCGACGAGGAGGACAUCCGUCUGCCAGAGAUCCACUCAGAGGAGAUGGAAGGGAAAGCGAAGAGACGUUACUCUGGACCUCAGAGAACUGACCAUAUCAUCCCAGAAAUGGAUUACUCUCUCAGAGCAUAUCUCAGCAUUUUAUAUCUGAAACCCAGGAUUCAGAUCAUCCUCAGAGGGAAGAAAGUUCAGACCAAACUAGUGGCGAAGAGUCUGUCUAUGAUCGAAAAUGAUGUUUAUAAACCACAAUUCAUUAAUGAACGAGUGAAGAUUACCUUUGGCUUUAACCAUAAAAACAAAGAUCAUUACGGCAUCAUGAUGUACCACAACAACAGGCUCAUCAAGUCUUAUGAGAAAGUUGGCUGCCAGAUCAAGUCAUCUGGUCUGAGGUCAGGAGUGGGUGUUAUUGGAGUAAUCGAGUGUAACUUUCUGAAACCAGCUCACAACAAGCAGGACUUUGAGUACACAAAAGAAUACAGACUCACAAUGGCUGCCCUCGGUAACAAACUUAACGACUACUGGCGUGAGAAGAAGGAAAAGAAAGCAAAAGAGAGAGCAUUUCGAGCACUGGAGAGAAAAAGCAUAGACGGGAAUACUGAGGAAUAUGAUGAAAGUGAGGAAGAGGAAGAGGAAGAGGAGGAGGAAAACGAAGAAGAGGAAAUGCCGAAUGUGAUGUGGCUCCAGUGUGACGACUGUAUGAAGUGGAGGGGCAUUCCUAGACACCUGUUCAAAAACAACCUUCCUGAGCACUUCACCUGUAGCCAGCAUCCUAUCGGCCGCUUGAGGAGCUGCUUAGUGCCUGAGGAACCUGAGGAGCCUGAGGACGAGUUGACACCUAGCUAUGAAAAAACACACAAAAAACAGGAAGUUUGGGCCAAGCGAAGAGGAAAAUCUGUGGAGAGUAAUAAAGGCCCAAUGCCACCUGAGUGCAAAGAGACACCUGAGCCCACCUCAGAAGCCACACCGGAUGAAACAGAGACGGAGAGUCAGAGCAAAGACGAUGAAUCUACACCCUCACAACCCCAUUGCAACAAAAGAAAAGCAACAUGGACAAACGAAGAAAUCAGCAGCAAAUCACCAAAACGCACUGAUUCUGAAAAAGAGAUAUCGACUACAACAAAUGAAUCAGAGGAACAGGCAAUGGAGGAAAAUCUGGAAAUACUGGAGGCAAAAAGCAAUGACCAGACCGUGAAAAAUGCUAACGAUGAGGCUAAAAGCACUGUAGUUUCUCCUGAAACAGAAAGUACAAACCCGACUCCUUCAGAGCAACAAGUGUCACGAGCCGCACAGACUAAAGAACAGCCAAAACCUGCCACUGGCCCCCAAGGCUGGCCUCAUCCAAUCAUACCCCAUACCUCCAUGGCAUGGUCUCACCCUCUCCCCCCUGCUCAGACUGUAGUGGUUCCUCCUCUUAGCCGAACAAGCAGGCAGCCACACACCGUGCUCCGGUUGGAGAAUCCAGAUCGCUCUGUGCUCACUAGCAGGCUGGACCAACUAGAGCGGGAAGCCAAGCGCCUCAGGAGGAUCCUCGGCCUACGAGAAGCGGUCGUACAAAUGAGCCCGUUAUCAGAUGGUGAGGUAUCAGGGUCAGCAGGGACUGUACAAGAUGGGAAAACAGACUCAGGGACAUCGAUAGAAGCAAAUGCAACAGCUUCUGUGGCAUCUAAGAAAUCAGGACCUCAGCCAGAUCAGCAAAGUAUUUUAAAGAGUACGAUCAGUCCUGCCGGACAACAAGAAGCACUCGUAACCCUUGCAGACGAUCUACACUGGAGUAAAACGCUGGCUAAACUCCAAAGUCAAAACCAAGCUCUGUGUACAGAGCUGAAUAAAGUUAAGACAGAAAAUGAUGAACUCCAGAGCAAACUGAGACAAACAGAGAGAGAGACACGGGACAAGAGAGAGCAAAGCACCAAUACACCCUCCAGUAUUCACGAUAGUAUCGCGCUGGAUCGAUUACGCUCUAUCCGUCGGAACGUUGUGUCUCUCCUCUCUUCCAUUCUGCCCAAUUUGGACAUGCAGGGAAUCAGCUAUGACACUGGAGACGUGGAUAGCAUCCUGCAGCAGAUCAUCCAGGCUAACAACCUCUGAUAAAUAAGCUCCAGGACAAAUGCAUAGCCCAACAACUACUCGUUUCAGUACAGCGCUUAUAGCAGAGCUCCACAAUCCAGAAUAAUGAAAUGCCAUCUGACCUCUCACUGCCUUCUGAAUAUUUUAUCCACCUUAUUUGGACAGAAUAUGUCCCGUAUCAUUUGCUCGGGUAAAAUGUGAGUAUUCUUGUCAUUUCUUUUCAUCAACCUACCGGUUAAAGCUCAACAGCACCUGAGGAACGGAUAUGCAGCAGGAUUAAAUAAGUAAACACAAGGUUAGAUCAAACUGAAGCAAGUCCAGUUGUCUGGCAGAACACAAAAUGUUUGCAAACGAGACAUCUUUCUGAACUUGAACUAGUGCAUAAAUAUAAAUUGAAACAAGGAGAGGUUGGAAAUGCUAAGAAGUGUUUAGUGUUUCAAAAGUGGCCUAAAGGCAACAGACUUCUGCUUAAUGCUGGAAACAAAACGGGGAUGUUGACAAGGCUAUUUCUGAACCCGUCUGUUUCGAAGCUGUAACGUACCUCAGGAAUGCAUAUUUUAGUUGGUCUCAAAUAUACAAAGUUUGGGGAGUUUAAUCACUAGCAUAAAUGUAUAGCUUCCUAGAAAUAACAAUUGCAUUUAAGGCCUUCAUCUUGGUAUAUAAAACAUGUGUGAACUGCAGUGAAGUCGAUUUAAAGCUAUUUAUUUUGUACAAAAGUAACAAUUAAAAUUAUUAUUAUUAUAGGGCAAGCUAUAGAGUGUGAGGGGGGGAAAACAAAAGCUGGUUUAGGUGACAGUAAAAACAUUGUUACAUUUACAUUUAGCAAUAAAAUAUUUUAUAUAAGAAAAUAUGCAGCUAUGAACAACAAAAUAUAACUGUUAGAUAUAAAGCUUAGCAGAAAUGCUGCAAAUGCCAAAGUUCCUGUCUUACUGUCUCUACUAACUUAACUUAGACAAGGAAAGGAGAACAAGGGUCUGAAAGCUGAUUACAGAUUAAUUUAGCUCGACUGAAAGGCAGCCAAAGAGUGUUAGAUACUAUAGUUAAUAGUAACGUUUAGCCAUCUCUGAUUGUACUUGCGUGACAUAUGAGCGUUUUCAGAAUAUCAGAACUAAAGUGAUUUAGUCAUUUUUGCUGUAAUAAGAGCUGGGAUACAGAUCAUAAUGUAAGAGUCCUUGAAAUAUCUAAAAGAAUUCUGUUAUUGUAAUGAUAAUAAGGUGGCUCUGGCUGCUGAACCACUAGCAAAUGAUUAAAAUCAGCACAACAGGACGACCAAGGCUUUACACAGAGGUGCUAAACCAUCAAAAUCUUCUUAUUUUAAAACCAUAGCCUGAACAUGACACAGUGCAAGACUACCUUUGUAUAUUUCUGACUAUGUGUAAGAAGGAAUAAGGUAAAGUUUACUAUUACACAUCUGAACAAGAUAGUGUGCUGGUAACUUUUUUUCCCCACUCUAAUUUAGGUGAUAAUGAUCCUUCAAAAAGACUCAAAAUUGAAGAAUAUGCAGGUGCAGAUAGCUAAGCUGCAGCUCGAGUAACUGGUACAAUGCCCACUUGCCUCAUCAGAGGUAACUACAGACACAACAUAAACUCCAUGUUGGUCUACAUAAAACUGCACUGGCUGAACGCUGGACUCAGAUUCAAGAGGCGCAAAAACCAUCAGGUAACAUGCUAACAGCAGACAAACUGUGUUCACCUGUUCAACCUGGAAGGACAAAGGCUGCAAGAGCAAAAGUGCAGACAUGUAUAAGUGGUGAGAAUGAGUGUGAUCAUUAAUGCACUAGUGAUAAUUAGAGUCAGAUCUCCAAAAAAUAGUGAAUAUGACUUCAUUAGUUGCAGCCGUGAGCUCAAACCUCAGGUGGAGAGUUGAGCUAGCUCAUGGUCGCUGGACGAACUGGUCUGUCUUUCUACAGCCCUCUGAGCCUUACAGACAGCCAUCUUGCUCUUAAUGUCGUGCUUCUUCUCAAAGUAGUUUACCAGAGCCGGUUCGGUCAGCAACGAUGCAAGCACCUGCUCAAACGAGAUCGACCAAUCGCCAUCUGGUGCACUGCCACGUCUACUGUCAUUCCCACCUCCAGCUCCACCCACUCCACAUCCGAUCAGGACUGUAUCGUCAGCGAUGUCUUCGCACUGCAGAGAACCGGCGCUGACCACAGAGUAGGAUGAAAUGGAGGUGUCGUCCUUCACAUCUUCGUCUGACCCGUUGGCUGGAGGAAGCAGAGUCUCCAAUUGGGCCUCCGCUAAAGCCGUCGACACCAGUGACUGCCCAGAUCCCUGCUCUCCAAAACAGUUCUCCUUUCCUGAAUUCUCUACCACUGGCUGAGCGAGUGCGUCACACUUCUUGCUGCCGUUGUUAGUGAACUUCUUGCCCACUUCUCCGAUGCGCAGUAAUAAGCUGGCCACCGUAGCAAUGGCAUGAUAAAGCUCCUGCUCCUGAGGGUCCUCACUGAACAUAUUAUAGAGCGUUUUGCAGAGCUCAAUAAACUGCUCCUGAACACAAAACAGAGAAUUAAACUUGAGGCAUUACAGUGUACAUGGGGAAAUUUUAUUCCAAUGAACCUAUCUUAGACCAUUCACUCAGACAUUACACUAAACUGUCAAAUAAUAUAGAUUACAUAUAAAGUAUCUAGACACCUGACCAUCAUCCCUUUAUUAACAUGAUGUUCAACAAGCAUGUAUCAUUGUAAUGACCAUUGCAAUGAUUCAUUCACAUACAGUGGACAUACAGUGUAGUUCUCCGCUACACUUAAUAGUUUGGUUUCUCACACAACAGAUGCAGACCAAAAAACAUUUGGCAAGGGAAGGAUGAGAAAGAACAUGGCAGGAAACGUACAAAAAUCUUUCAAUGAUUCAAUACUUUAUAGAGCUGAAUCAAUGGUUUGGUUCACUAGUGGCAAGUAUGACUGCCAUGAUAAUGAUCUAAUUAUUUACUCGAAAUAGAUAAACACACCCAGGUUCUAUUCAAAUGAACUAAAUAGUACACCCAUAUAAACUGCAAAUCCACAUCUACAUUAGGCAUGACAAGUUUCUGUUCUGCUAACCACACAAAAACUGAAGUGGAGCUUGCAAUAAAAUUUCUCAAUUUGUUUAUUUUCUAUAGAACUAAUUCCACAAGCAGUCAGCAAAGACAGCAAAACUCAAAGAAGCACAGCAGUGUAUGUAAACUGCAGAACUAAAUAAAUACUGUCAUCUCCAAGCUAAAAGAAAAAUAAAUGAGCAUUUACACCUUUA